rnacentral:lncRNA from 1 species
AACGUUGGCGAAAAGAACCAAGUGGCCAGUGUGGAAGCGGAAUGAAAGGGACUCGAUUCUGUUCUACACGCAAUAUUGACCACAGGAUGAGAACAUUCAAAUCUCGAUCAUUUUGGACACGGACGGAGAUGAUCUGUUGCGGAGUCGUCGUUCCUCGUUCUUCUGGCAGUCCGACUCGACGUUGUCCAUCAGGUGACGAAGACAACCAACUUAUACGAAACGACGAAAUCCAGCAAGAACCGAGCUGCAGGCAAAUAUGGCACGAACGGCCAUCCUACUCGUAAGAAACUGGCUCUAUCAUUGUCACCGAUCUCGGCAGACGGCGGCGGCAACGAUCAACUCCUCCACGGGCUUCCCGGCGGCCGGUGACCAACGACACGCUUAUGUGCAAGUUGCAGUUCUACGACGACGAGGAGACCAGCACGUAGUCGCUGCACAAGUUUUCCGAGACGUAGGCCUGCCUGACCGGAUCGAUGAAUACACGAAGCUGUAGAAAAGCUGGAGAAAAGUGAACAACGUCAUUGCCGCCCUGUGUAAAUUUUGGUCCUGGAACGUAAUCCUUGACCUCGAUAUCGCUGCACCACCCUACGCGAAGCAGCCUGCUGGAACCAGGAGAGAUCGUAAACAUUUUCCCCAAGGAACCAACAUUGAUUACCGUGACAAACUAUCUUGCACGAAGCUUUGUUUUAUAAAAUAUAAA